rnacentral:rRNA from 1 species
UACAGAGGGUGCGAGCGUUAAUCGGAAUUACUGGGCGUAAAGGGCGCGUAGGUUGGUAGAUGUGUUAGAUGUUAAAGCCCCAGGCUUAACCUGGGAAUGUCAUCUAAGAACUGUCUAUCUAGAGUGCAGUAGAGGAAAGUAGAAUUUCCGGUGUAGCGGUGAAAUGCGUAGAUAUCGGAAGGAAUACCAGUGGCGAAGGCGGCUUUCUGGACUGACACUGACACUGAGGCGCGAAAGCGUGGGGAGCAAACAGG